UACGUAGGGACCAAGCGUUGUUCGGAUUUACUGGGCGUAAAGGGCGCGUAGGCGGCUUAACAAGUCACUUGUGAAAUCUCCGGGCUUAACUCGGGAACGGCCAAGUGAAACUGUCAAGCUAGAGUGCAGGAAGGGGCAAUCGGAAUUCUUGGUGUAGCGGUGAAAUGCGUAGAUAUCAAGAGGAACACCUGAGGUGAAGACGGGUGCUGGGCUGACACUGACGCUCGAUGCACGAAAGCGUGGGGAGCAAACAGG
rnacentral:rRNA from 1 species